rnacentral:lncRNA from 10 species
CUGCUUCUGUCCCAGUUCACAGAUGAGUUCCAGGCAGGAAGACAGCUCUGGGCAGAGGAGGUGACUCUGUGAAAGAUGCUAUCUUAAGAUGGGGAGACUAGGCUGUGAGGAGCCCCUUCCCCUCUCCUCCUCCCUCUGCCCCCAGAGCUGGCGUCAUUCCAGGGAGGGUCAAGAUGUCCAUUCACAUCAAGCUGGGCUUUUCUUAUCUCCAUCGCUCAUGUCUUGUCCUUCACUUUCAUAGUCCUCCAAGAACAAAACCCGGAAUAGACACUCCCAGCCUCUAGCUCACAAAGGCCCCACUAUUAAUUUCAUCCUCACGGUCUCUCUGGCAGUGUAGACAUCAUGCUAUCUGCACACUUGCUCCAGUCCCUAUUCCCAGAUCCCCAAUCCAGCAGAAGCCAAGAGGUCCAAUCCUGAGGGUAGGGAGAGAAAAAACCCACCCCGUGCCUUUUGGCCCAUGGCAAGCAGGAGGCCUCCUUAGGAAGAGGGCCACUGACCCUGGAACAAGAAAGGACGAUGAGGGCAAUGCUCAUAAAUUUGAAGCCAGGCGGGGAGGCACCGGAAAGGGGCCAAGGGAGGCUCUCAACUAGCCUCUUACUUCCUUCAUGGAGCCCAAGAAGGAGCAGGAACCCAGCUCAGUAGGACGCCCCCAAGCCUUGGCGCCAGCUGCUUUGGGGAGGGAUCUCCCUACAGGAAGCCUGGUGCAAACAUUAACUUCGCUCCUAAAGCACGGACCAGCCGUUGGAGCCCCCAAAUCCAGUAGGGGGUGGACUCAUUUUUAUUCUACAUUUUUCAUUGCCUCAGUGUGUCCCUGCCCCCCACCACCCCCUGCCAAGGGUAAUGUGUGAACAGCAGAGUUGCAGUGGAUUGGGGGGUGGGAGGAGGUUUGUCCAAAUGACCCAGGCACACUGCUGUUCAUGCCAGGCUCAUCCAUAUAGACAUAUAAGUACAACACACACAGACAAGAGGCAGGCCCCUCCAUCCUCUCUCUCUAGUUGCCCUUCCCAACUCCCCACUCACAUAAUGAAACCAAGGAGUACAUCCAUUCAUCAGCCCUGCUGCCUUCCAAUUCUCAUAGAAAAUAGAGGAAGGAUGAAAGGGUCUGCGGACAAUUUGGAGAAAGCAUAUCUAGUCAGUGUCAUGGUGCCAUGGGGGAACUGCAGGAAUCACACUAGCCCCAAUGCCCAAAAUGACAGGGAAGUGAUCCAAUUUUAGGGCAAGCUCUGGAGCUCCCAGAUCUAAGGGCUGGAGCACUAAUUAUCUGCUGACACACAGCCCACCCCCGGCCCCAGCCCAUUCCCUGCCUCACACUCAGAAAACAGGAUAGAAAGCUUAAACAGGGUCAGUCUCUGCAAGCUUUGGGAUCCUUAACCCUUAGUAGCCCUUCAGAACAAGAAAGUAGACAGGGGAGAAGGAUGGAUGGAGGGAGGGGGACGAGCUGUAGGAGGGGAUUGGUGCCAGAAGGCAGGGAUAAGGAGCGGCAGCUGCAGAGAGUGGUGGGGGAAAAACUACAAGGAAAGAAGGGAGGAAAGACGAUUGCAGAUCUAAGAAAGCAGCAGAGGGAAACAAGCUUUUACUGCGUCCAGACUCAGGCUUCAACAUUUUAGGAUCAAUAUGACUUUCCCCCAUUUCAUACCAAUGGAGAAACUGAGGCUGAGUGAGAUUAAAUGGCUUGUGCAGGGUCAGGUCUGUAGAGCCCAGUCUCUUUCCCCUAAACCACAAACCUCUGAGAAAGAAUAAAGCAGUAGAGGAGGACAGGGCGGGGCAGAAUCAGGGGACAGUUAAAGGAUGUGCAUAGGACAAGGAGUAGCCACACUACCUGAUUUUCAGAAAGCAAGGGCAAAGGGUCUCCUGGCUGUAGGGGAUGGAUUUC